ensembl:lncRNA
UCUACACCAAAAGGGCUCGCUCUUACCUUUAAACAUUAGAUCUGACUAACAGUGGGCUACCAGGGCUGCUGGUCCAUAAAAGAGGAAGUAAACAACGGUUGGCGACUUGACUUCAUCACACAGUAUGGAAAGGACUUGUGACGAGGUGUAACUCCAAAACCGUGGACUCACUCAGGUUAAUCAGGGAAGGAGAGGAUUUGGGGCCAUGAGGCAUGUGGGAUCCUAGCUCCCUGACCAGGGAUUGAACCCACACCCCCAGCACUGGAAGGCUAAGAGUCAACCACUGGACUGCCAGGCAAGAUUCUUAUCCUGAGGUCCAGAAGUGGACUUGAGCACUUCAUGAAGCCCUUGAAAUUG